rnacentral:rRNA from 1 species
UACGAAGGUGGCAAGCGUUGUUCGAAAUCACUGGGCUUAAAGGGCACGCAGGCGGCCGAUCAAGUGUCUUGUGAAAUCCCCCGGCUUAACCGAGGAAUUGCAGGGCAAACUGGUCGGCUUGAGGCAGGUAGGGGCGAGUGGAACUCUUGGUGGAGCGGUGGAAUGCGUAGAUAUCAAGAGGAACGCCGGAGGCGAAAGCGACUCGCUGGGCCUGUCCUGACGCUGAGGUGCGAAAGCCAGGGUAGCGAACGGGAUUAGAUACCCCCGUA